AGCUUUGCACAUUGACAGUAUCAUAGCCAAUGAGAUUUUUCCGAGGCACGAUUACUGCUAAUUAAAAACUAAAUAAAAAUAUACAGG
ensembl:snRNA U4 U4 spliceosomal RNA